UGAAAAUCUAUCCCAAAAAAAAUGCAUAAAUGACAGGAUCUUUGUCCAAAAUACAAAAUGACACGCAAAUUGCAAAUUUCAGGUUCCAACCUUACAUAGAGACAACCUAAGUUAAUUGUAGUAGAUCUUGGCAGCUGUAUUUCCUCAAAGAAAUAGCUCUGAAGGGCCUGUCGGCUAUCAGAGCCAGCUAGACGGCCAGAAGGCAUGGAUGCUAUACCCGGUCUUCCAAUUAUCCAGAUAAAUGACCUUGCUCACAGCCCAGUACGACACCAACAGCGCCACCAGCAUAAACCCCCUCUGCACCGUGACACUAUUCACCCGCACAAGAAGAUGAGUCACAAACGCCAACAGCAGGCCCACCACCGUAUACAGAAACCCGACGAUAAA
rnacentral:misc_RNA from 1 species